UACGAAGGGGGCUAGCGUUGUUCGGAAUCACUGGGCGUAAAGCGCACGUUAGGCGGAUCUUUAAGUCCAGAGGUGAAAUCCCAAAGGCUCAACCUUUGGAACUGCCGUUUGAUACUGGGGAUCUUGAGUCCGGGAGAGGUGGGUGGAAUUCCUGGUGUAGCGGUGAAAUGCGUAGAUAUCAAGGAGGGAACACCUGUGGCGAAAGCGGCUCACUGGACCAUAAAC
rnacentral:rRNA from 1 species